UAGUCGUGCGGGGAUUUGAACCCUGCACAUCUGACGUGCGAGGCGAGCUUGUUACCACUACUCCACCAACG
rnacentral:tRNA from 11 species